AACGAACGCUGGCGGCAUGCCUAACACAUGCAAGUCGAACGAGACCUUCGGGUCUAGUGGCGCACGGGUGCGUAACGCGUGGGAACCUGCCCUUAGGUUCGGAAUAACUCCCCGAAAGGGGUGCUAAUACCGGAUAAUGUCUUCGGACCAAAGAUUUAUCGCCUUUGGAUGGGCCCGCGUUGGAUUAGCUAGUUGGUAGGGUAAAAGCCUACCAAGGCGCCGAUCCAUAGCUGGUCUGAGAGGAUGCUCAGCCACACUGGGACUGAGACACGGCCCAGACUCCUACGGGAGGCAGCAGUGGGGAAUAUUGGACAAUGGGCGAAAGCCUGAUCCAGCAAUGCCGCGUGAGUGAUGAAGGCCUUAGGGUUGUAAAGCUCUUUUACCCGGGAUGAUAAUGACAGUACCGGGAGAAUAAGCUCCGGCUAACUCCGUG
rnacentral:rRNA from 1 species